AAUUUUAUUAAAUUAAGAAAGAAAAUUUAUCUGUACACUCUUAAACUAUUUAUCUUGAACGGAAUAAUUUUUACUAGUCACAUCGAUAUAACUAGUAAAAACAAAAAAAAACUUCAAAAAUCUUUCUUGUGGUUUCACUUCUUUUUUUCACUUUAGUAUCAUGUAGUUUAAAAUGUAUCAAGUUAGUAGCCUGUGGUUUAUCACUUUAUCACUUUAUCAAGUUAGUACACUUUAUCACUUUAGUACCCUAUGGUUUAAAGUGUAUCAAGUUAGUACCCUGUGGUUUUGCACUUUAUCACUUUAGUAUCAUGUGGUUUCUCACUUUAUCACUUUAGUACCCUCUGGUUUAAAAACCACAGGAUACUAACUUGAUACAAAAUUAAAACCACAGGGUAUUAAAGUGAUAAAGUGCAAAACCACAGGAUACUAACUUGAUACACUUUAAACCACAGGAUACUAAAGUGAUAAAGUGAUAAACCACAGGGUAAUACACUUUAAAUCACAGAAUACUAAAAUAAUAAAAUAUGAAGCCACAGGAGGAUUUUUGAAGUUUUUCCUAAAAUAAUCUAUAUUAUAGAAUGAGUGGAAUGUACAUCACACAUUUUUUUUCUG
rnacentral:lncRNA from 1 species